UACAGAGGUCUCAAGCGUUGUUCGGAUUCAUUGGGCGUAAAGGGUGUGUAGGUGGCGCGCUAAGUCGGGUGUGAAAUUUCGGAGCUUAACUCCGAAACUGCAUUCGAUACUGGCGGGCUUGAGGACUGGAGAGGAGACUGGAAUUCAUGGUGUAGCAGUGAAAUGCGUAGAGAUCAUGAGGAAGACCAGUGGCGAAGGCGGGUCUCUGGACAGUUCCUGACACUGAGACACGAAGGCCAGGGGAGCAAACGGG
rnacentral:rRNA from 1 species